AACGAACGCUGGCGGCAUGCCUAACACAUGCAAGUCGAACGGAUGCAGCAAUGCAUCAGUGGCAGACGGGUGAGUAACACGUGGGAAUCUACCCAGUAGCCUGGAAUAACCGCGGGAAACUGCGGCUAAUACCGGAUACGCCCCUCGGGGGGAAGGAGCAAUCCACUAUUGGAGGAGCCCGCGUCCGAUUAGCUAGUUGGUGAGGUAACGGCUCACCAAGGCGAUGAUCGGUAGCUGGUUUGAGAGAACGACCAGCCACACUGGGACUGAGACACGGCCCAGACUCCUACGGGAGGCAGCAGUGGGGAAUAUUGGACAAUGGGGGAAACCCUGAUCCAGCAAUGCCGCGUGGGUGAUGAAGGCCUUCGGGUUGUAAAGCCCUUUUGGCGGGGACGAUGAUGACGGUACCCGCAGAAGAAGCCCCGGCUAACUUCGUGCCAGCAGCCGCGGUAACAC
rnacentral:rRNA from 1 species